rnacentral:lncRNA from 1 species
AAAUAAGCUUCAAUCAAAUUCAAAAAAAUCUCAAGAAAUUUCAAAGAAAUAAUAAGAAUUCUUAAAGAAAUAUUAGAAGAAUCACAAAUAUCACUCAAAUACAACUCAAUUCAAUCUUAAUUUAAUUCUAGUUAAAAUCCUAUUGAACUUCAUUCAAACUUUAGGCCAAAUCUAAUUAAAUCUUAAAUCCUAAUAAAAUCUUAAAUCCUAAAUCAAAUCCUAAACAAACCUUAAAUCAAAUCUCAACCAAAUCCUAAAUCAAAUCCUAAAUCCUAAAUCAAACCCUAACCAAAUCCUAAUCCAAAUUCUAAACCUUAAACCAAAUUCUAAUCCAAAUCCUAAAUUAAAUCCUAACCAAACCCUAAAUCGAACCCUAAACAAACCUUAAACCAAAUCUCAACCAAAUCCUAAACCAAACCCUAAAUCCUAAAUCAAAUCCUAACCAAAUCCUAAUCCAAAUCCUAAACCUUAAACCAAAUUCUAAUCCAAAUCCUAAAUUAAAUCCUAACCAAACCCUAAAUCGAACCCUAAACAAACUUUAAACCAAAUCUCAACCAAAUCCUAAAUCAAACCCUAAUCAAACCUUAACCAAAUUCUAAACCAAAUUCUAAACCAAACCCUAAAUCUUGAAUCAAACCCUAACCAAAUCCUAAUCCAAAUCCUAAACCCUAAAGCAAAUCCUAAUCCAAACCCUAAACCAAAUCUUAAUACAAAUCCUAAAUCCUAAACCAAAUCCUAACCAAAUCUUAA